rnacentral:rRNA from 1 species
AACGAACGCUGGCGGCAUGCCUAACACAUGCAAGUCGAACGAUACCUUCUGGUCUCGUGGCGCACGGGUGCGUAACGCGUGGGAACCUGCCCUUAGGUUCGGAAUCACUCCCCGAAAGGGGUUCUAAUACCGGAUAAUGUCUUCGGACCAAAGAUUUAUCGCCUUGGGAUGGGCCCGCGUUUGAUUAGCUCGUUGGUAGGGUAAAAGCCUACCACGGCGACGAUCCAUAGCUGGUCUGAGAGGAUGAUCAGCCACACUGGGACUGAGACACGGCCCAGACUCCUACGGGAGGGAGGAGUGGGGAAUACUGGAAAAGGGGAGAAAGACUGAGACAGAAAUGGCGGGGGAGUGAUGAAGGCAUUAGGGUUGUAAAGCUCUUUUAGCCGGGAAGAUAAUGACAGUACCGGGAGAAUAAGCUCCGGCUAACUCCGUG